rnacentral:SRP_RNA from 1 species
GCCUUGAGCCUGAGUCCCAGCUACUCAGGAGGCUAAGGCGGGAAGGUCUCUUGAGUCCAGGAGUUCUAGACUGUAGUGUGCUAUGCUGAUCAGGUGUCCACACUUAAGUUCAGCAUCAAUACAUAAAUAUGGUGACUUCCUGGGGGGCAGGGGGCAGGUUGGAAGCAGAGCAGGUCAAAACUCCCAUGCUGAUCAGUGGUGGGAUCAUGUCUGUGAAUAGCCACUGCACUCCAGCCUGGGCAACAUAGUGAGACCUGUCUCUA